AGUCGAGCGAGGCCUGGGGGGCAACUCCCAGAGUCGAGCGGCGGACGGGUGAGUAACACGUGGGUAACCUGCCCGGAAGUGGGGAAUACCUCGGGGAAACUCGAGCUAAUACCGCAUGACAUCUUCGGGACGAAAGUCCUGACGAUCAAAGCGGGGUCGCAAGAUCUCGCGCUACCGGAUGGGCCCGCGCCCGAUUAGCUAGUUGGCGAGGUAACGGCUCACCAAGGCUUCGAUCGGUAACCGGCCUGAGAGGGCGAUCGGUCACACCGGAACUGAGACACGGCCCGGACUCCUACGGGAGGCAGCAGUGGGGAAUCUUGCGCAAUGGGCGAAAGCCUGACGCAGCAACGCCGCGUGGAGGAUGAAGGCCCUUGGGUUGUAAACUCCUGUCGGCUGGGAAGAAAUCAUACGGUGCUAAUACCACCGUGCGUUGACUGUACCAGCAAAGGAAGCCCCGGCUAACUCUGUGCCAGCAGCCGCGGUAAUACAGAGGGGGCUAGCGUUAUUCGGAAUUAUUGGGCGUAAAGGGCGCGUAGGCGGCUUUGCGUGUCUUCCGUGAAAUCCCUCGGCUCAACUGAGGACGUGCGGAAGAAACUGCAGGGCUUCGAGUCCGGGAGAGGGGGGGUGGAAUUCCCAGUGUAGCGGUGAAAUGCGUAGAUAUUGGGAGGAACACCGGUGGCGAAGGCGGCCCCCUGGACCGGUACUGACGCUGAGGCGCGAAAGCGUGGGGAGCAAACGGGAUUAGAUACCCCGGUAGUCCACGCCGUAAACGAUGGGCACUUGGUGUCGCGGGUAUCGACCCCUGCGGUGCCGAAGCUAAC
rnacentral:rRNA from 1 species